rnacentral:lncRNA from 1 species
UCUUCCAAGGAAUGGUCUGCCUAUGACACUCCAUUUCUUGAGCAUCAAUAAUUGCCCUGAGCUCAAGAAACGAUGCCAAGCUGAGAGAGGUGAAGAUUGGCCCAAAAUUACAAAUAUCUUCUCUGUGUGGAUGGAUGAAAAACUAGUUAGUCACAGAAACUAGCACUAAAGUGCUAACCAUGCAGACAAGAUGCGAUAUGAAGGUACAAGCAAAACUAAUCGAUUUUUUUUAUGUUGUAUGCCAGUUUGUCAUAAUGAACUUACAAAAUUUCUGUUCUACAUCAAACCACAUAGCAUAUAGAUAUUUCAGUGUUUAAGAGUUAAAAAUCUUGGAGUCCACAAACACAAGAAUGGUUAGUAACUAGCACCAAUCUUAUUUUCACAGGUUUAAUUAAUAUUUGAUGGACCCUAACAUGGAAUAAGCACUACAGAGUCAUAUUUAAGUUUCUUACUUUGAAGUUUCUGUUUACUACAGUUGUCAAGUGAUGCUACUUUAUCAUGGUUAAUUAGCGCAAAUUUCAGGAUCACAUAUUGAGAAGGUUUAUAAGAAAAGGUUCAUUUACUUGAUUAUGGUCGAUUUUUUUUCAGCAAAAGCAGUUGGUCAAUGUUACAGCUUCAUACUUCAGGACUUGUUUAUUUUCCUCCCUUGUCUUUAGGCAUUCAUUAUGAUUAACCAAAUUAACCAAGGCAAACACUUAUAACUGCAGAGUAAACAUCUGCUCAAUUCUGGAUGGGGUUUACAUAUUUGGGAGGAUGCUGCAAUUGAUGUUCUUAUCCUUCCUGCUGGGUGGUGAUUCUGCGAUGCUGAUAUUGCAGGGGUGUUUAAUGACAAAGGCCAAGAUGUUGCUGCCCAGCAUGAUUCAUUCUUGAGCGAAAAAUGAAAACUAAAAACUAAAAACUAAACACAAAAAACAAAAAUAAUCCACAUGCUAAUGCAAAGAGUGAGAAGGAGAGGCUACCACCAGCUCAAUAUUGUAUAUGCUUCUCGGUGUUGAUAAGUUACAGCUUUCUAAGUGGGCAUGUAAUAACAUACACCUAUAAUUACUUUGUUUGUUUUCUAUAUUGUUGCUGCAUUAUGGCGAAUGCCCAUCGUUGUACUAUGAGAGUGAUGAAAUUAAUUUGAUGCAUCUAAUUUGCAGAAAUACCAGAAAAUUUCUUUUAUAUAUUUCAGUUGAUCACGAACUCAAGAAUCAAGAAUCUCAACAUAGUCUUUUAUCACCCGGGCCUAGUGAGGUAUUCAUAGCUUUGCAACUUUGGCAUAUAGUUGGGGUUGCAAAAUUCUUGUGCAGAAACUAUGUACCAUAAAUGGUUGAUUACAUAAUAAAUCAUGCGUUUUCUGGGUUUAAGAAGAUCCACUGGUAUACACAUUAUCUAGGAAAAGCCAUUUUGCAUCUAAACAAGAUGAUUUUAUAACCCUGCUCUUCGUUACCAUGGAAAUAUUGUUCAAAAAUACAAAAGCCUGAUUUGGCUAAAAAUGACAUUGGGGUUGAGUCAACUAAGAAACUCAACCAAGUCCAAGACUCAAUAACAGGUAAGAUAGAAUGUCCUGCAUAUUUGAACUUUCCCCAUCUCAACAACUAUUUUUUAUGCUUCUGUAAUUUACAUGCUCGAAUCAAAAUGUUAUAUCCGGAAUAACAUUUCCUCAAUCAUAACAUUGCCAAUUUUCAUGAUAAAGAAUGAAAUAACAAUUGCAGCACAAAUAAGAUGUAGACCAGCGUGCCACAUGUGGUCUCUAAAGCUCUCCUCAGUAAUAGGUUUAUAUUGAAAACACCGAAUGCAUAACAUAUCCAUCGGUGGUUGGAUUAGAAGAUCAAAACCAUGCAAAAAAACUUAAUCUAACACCAAGCCAUUGUUCGACCCCUCAAAAUACUUGCCAAACGAUAACAUGAUAGAAGUAAACCAAUAAUCUAAUUAACGAAAUCUAAGUACACAAUAAAGUAGCAAAAUUUGAGUGGAUUGAUCAAGUACUAACAUCCCUUGAAGGACAAGAAUCGCGAAGCUCCCUGGACGUCCUAGAGUCAGCCAAAGUAACAGUUCUGGCUGCUGCUUAAUAUACCCUGUUCAUCAAAUGAAAUGAUGGAUAUAAGAAACUCACGAACAUCAAAUGCUACCACAUUAUUCUGUUUUUUGUUUUCCUUUUUGCCCUCAUUCCGAGCAUAUUUCAAAUUGGUGUUGGUUCCUGGCGAACAUUACCAACGACAGUGAUGAGGUCGGAUCGGCGAAGUGGGCUGGAAAGGUCGGGCGGUGGGGUUGGACUCCGGAGAAGCGAAAUGAAGAAGAGACGGUGGAGGCGAUGACGACGUCUUCGCCGCCGCUUCGAUGAGAAGGGAACCGAGAAGGACGGCUCGAGGAUUUGGUGGAAGAAAGAAAGAUGAGUGCGAA